UGAGCAAUCUGCCCUUCUCUUCGGAAUAAGCGUUGGAAACGACGUCUAAUGCCGAAUACGACCUCCUUUCACAUGAUCGGAGGUGGAAAGCUCCGGCGGAGAAGGAUGAGCUCGCGGCCUAUCAGCUAGUUGGUGUGGGUAAUGGCCCACAAGGCGACGACGGGUAGCCGGCCUGAGGAGGGUCGACCGGCCACACGUGGGACUGAGACACGGCCCAGACCUCCGUACGGGGA
rnacentral:rRNA from 1 species